AAUCAUUUUAAAAAUCCCUUUAGAUGUACAUUAGAUACUAACAUAGUGUAUGAUUAUUAUUUUAGCUUAAGAUCAAUUAUUUAAAGCCAAAAUAAAAAUAAAAAUUAUAUAUAUGAUUUAUUUUUUUAUUUUAAUAUCAAGCACUAAAAUGUUAUUACAUAUAUUUUAAAUAUUUUUAAUAUAUUUAUAAUUUUAGCAUUAAAGCAUACUAUUUGAGGUUAGUUGAUUUCUAUUGUGCAAUUUUAGACUCCAAUUGUAAUUGCAACCCUAAUAUUAAAUAGGAAGAUUUAAAUGUUCUUUAUAUAAAUUGUUUACAUGUUGCAUUUAAAAUCAAGGGGGAAUUAUUGCACACAAUCCUUUCAAGCAACACAACCUAUAAAAACUAAAACAAAAAUAAGAUAAUAAGAAAAGAUAACAUUAUUAUUGUAAUUCCAAAGUUUGUUUGGAUCUAUAGCACCAUUCAUUGUUGAAGCAUUGUACAAGACUCAAACUAACUUGAGAAGAAGAAGGGCCAAAUAGAAGAGGGGAGCAUGGAGAAUGAAACAUCUGAAUAUAAUUGAAAAUAAAAAGAAGUAAAUGAAGGCAAAAAAAUGAAAUGAAAAGUGUGUAUAUAUAUAUAUAUAUAUAUAUAUAUAUUUUUUUUUCUUGUGGAACCCUUACUUACCAAGACUAAUUCAUGAUUCACACACAAGGUUGGUCUACAAGCUCACUAAGACUGAAAUUUUUGGCUAGUGCAAGAAAAGAUGAGAUUGAAAGUGUUAUUGUUUUUGGACCUAUUGAAGCUAACAAAGAUUACUUCUGACAAUCAAGUACCUCCCUAAUAAGCUCUUUGUUGAAAGUGCUAUUGAAAAAAUACAGAACACAUGCUAGAGCAUUUUAAACCAAGACAAGUCUAUUAUUUUACACUUACUAUGAUUUUUGUGAGUGCCUGUUCUGUAUAGCCACUUGCAAUUAAAAUGUGCAUAGAAGCAUGAUAUCCAAAUCAGUUGGCAAGUCACACCAUUAUGGUGGGUUUAUUGAAUCUCACAUCUCUUGUUGUUACACUUUGUCUUGACGACAAAGAAUGAGGGUCGUUUCCAUUACAGAUUCUAGUCUAUAAUCAUAUUUCUAAAUUACAGCUAUUGUCUGAAAUACACAUUCUGUACAAGAUUAUUUGAAUCUCAGAUGUACAGUGUUUCAUGCAGCAUUUGUAGCAAAGCAAGAGACUCUCCCAGUAAUACACUGUUGUACACCUCCUGCAGUAUUCUACCUAAUAGGUGAAUAAAUUUCUGUUGUGACAGAUAAUUAAUUGAGGCACAGCUACUAACCAUGUGCACUACAUCCCAUACAUCAACCAAAAAAAGGCCGACAAGAACGAUAUAUCUAAGUUUGCCUGUAAAUCUCCAACUGAAAGCUAUCAUGUGCAGAGGUCGUUGGUGCAGAUCUAUAAUUAUCAUAAUUGCAACUUCGACAGAAGUUGAAAAUUGUCCAAAACUAAGACUACCUACAUACAAUGCUGCGGUCCAUUCAGGUACGUUAAGAAUGCCGCAGUAACAUGGUGCAGCUCGUAGACUACUUGUAGGAUUUACACGUCGUGAAUUACAAGGACUAGUUUAUGCUUUCAUACUAAAAUUUCGUAGAUUCAUUAGUUAGUCGUAAUCCAUGACUUUUACCGAUGAGUAGAGGUUCACGAUCUAGAUCCACAAUCUGGACAGAUGUACGUGAUUAAUUAGAUGUUAACAACAAAGGCCCAUGACAGAUCGCACGAACUCAAGUAAGCAAUUAUCCAAUUUCUAUGAAAGCAAUACGCGAAGAAAAAUCUUUCAAAAAUAAUUUACGAUCUUUAAAUAAUAACAGACACAACAUGUGAUCUAG
rnacentral:lncRNA from 1 species